rnacentral:rRNA from 1 species
UACGUAGGUGGCAAGCGGUGUCCGGAUUUACUGGGUGUAAAGGGCGUGUAGGCGGGAAAUUAAGUCAGAUGUGAAAGUCCAUGGCUCAACUGUGGGAGUGCAUCUGAAACUGAUUUUCUUGAGUACUGGAGAGGAAGGCGGAAUUCCCAGUGUAGCGGUGAAAUGCGUAGAGAUUUGGAGGAACACCAGUGGCGAAGGCGGCUUUCUGGACAGUAACUGACGCUGAGGUGCGAAAGCGUGGGGAGCAAACAGG